rnacentral:antisense_RNA from 1 species
UGUGGGAGCGAGCUUGCUCGCGAUAGCGGUGGUUCAGCCUGAAUUGAUGUUGACUGAUACACCGCUAUCGCGAGCAAGCUCGCUCCCACA